AGAGUUUGAUCAUGGCUCAGGACGAACGCUGGCGGCGUGCUUAACACAUGCAAGUCGAACGGAAAGGCCCUUCGGGGUACUCGAGUGGCGAACGGGUGAGUAACACGUGGGUGAUCUGCCCUGCACUUUGGGAUAAGCCUGGGAAACUGGGUCUAAUACCGAAUAUGACCACGCUCUUCAUGGGGUGUGGUGGAAAGCUUUUGCGGUGUGGGAUGGGCCCGCGGCCUAUCAGCUUGUUGGUGGGGUAAUGGCCUACCAAGGCGACGACGGGUAGCCGGCCUGAGAGGGUGACCGGCCACACUGGGACUGAGGUACGGCCCAGACUCCUACGGGAGGCAGCAGUGGGGAAUAUUGCACAAUGGGCGCAAGCCUGAUGCAGCGACGCCGCGUGAGGGAUGACGGCCUUCGGGUUGUAAACCUCUUUCACCAGGGACGAAGCGCAAGUGACGGUACCUGGAGAAGAAGCACCGGCCAACUACGUGCCAGCAGCCGCGGUAAUACGUAGGGUGCGAGCGUUGUCCGGAAUUACUGGGCGUAAAGAGCUCGUAGGUGGUUUGUCGCGUUGUUCGUGAAAACUCACAGCUUAACUGUGGGCGUGCGGGCGAUACGGGCAGACUAGAGUACUGCAGGGGAGACUGGAAUUCCUGGUGUAGCGGUGGAAUGCGCAGAUAUCAGGAGGAACACCGGUGGCGAAGGCGGGUCUCUGGGCAGUAACUGACGCUGAGGAGCGAAAGCGUGGGGAGCGAACAGGAUUAGAUACCCUGGUAGUCCAA
rnacentral:rRNA from 1 species